GAUCAUGGCUCAGGACGAACGCUGGCGGCGUGCUUAACACAUGCAAGUCGAACGAAAAUACCAAGCUUGCUUGGUUGAUUAGUGGCGAACGGGUGAGUAACACGUGAGUAACCUGCCCCUUACUUUCCUGGAUAACUGCUCGAAAGGGUAGCUAAUACGGGAUAUUCUGGCCUUCCUGCACGGGUUGGUUUGGAAAGGUUUUUCUGGUAAGGGAUGGGCUCGCGGCCUAUCAGCUUGUUGGUGGGGUGAUGGCCU
rnacentral:rRNA from 1 species